UGGGGAAUAUUGGACAAUGGGCGCAAGCCUGAUCCAGCAAUGCCGCGUGAGUGAUGAAGGCCUUAGGGUUGUAAAGCUCUUUCGCACGCGACGAUGAUGACGGUAGCGUGAGAAGAAGCCCCGGCUAACUUCGUGCCAGCAGCCGCGGUAAUACGAAGGGGGCUAGCGUUGUUCGGAAUUACUGGGCGUAAAGGGCGCGUAGGCGGCCUGUUUAGUCAGAAGUGAAAGCCCCGGGCUCAACCUGGGAAUAGCUUUUGAUACUGGCAGGCUUGAGUUCCGGAGAGGAUGGUGGAAUUCCCAGUGUAGAGGUGAAAUUCGUAGAUAUUGGGAAGAACACCGGUGGCGAAGGCGGCCAUCUGGACGGACACUGACGCUGAGGCGCGAAAGCGUGGGGAGCAAACAGGAUUAGAUACCCUGGUAGUCCACGCCGUAAAACGAUGAAUGCUAGACGUCGGGGUGCAUGCACUUCGGUGUCGCCGCUAACGCAUUAAGCAUUCCGCCUGGGGAGUACGGCCGCAAGGUUAAAAACUCAAAUGAAUUGACGGGGUCAUAGCUGUUUCCU
rnacentral:rRNA from 1 species